AAUCACAGCUGAGGCUGCAUCUGCCACGGUUCACGGACCCGCCGCUCCAUGCUGGGGGACCAGAUGCCUCUGUUUACGCCGCUCUCCUCCUGGCCUUCUGCCGGCCGGUCGGCAGCAAGACAGAGCCCGGUAGCCCAUCACUGGGCUUCAGCUGUCUCCCCAGUCUUGUCUUUCAAUAUAUUCUCUUCUCUACCCCUUUUUGUCUCCACACCCCCUGCCCCAAAUGGCCAGAAGGGGUAUCUCUCUUUUUCAAGUUUGACCCCAUAGAACAAAGCGGAGAAAGACUAACCAGGGCGACUUUGAUUCCUGCCAUCCUCGAAACAACACAGUGUUCAAAGAUCAGGCCGGCCGGCGCGGUGGCUCAAGCCUGUAAUCCCAGCAUUUUGGGAGGCCAAGGCAGAGUCUUACUCCAUCACCCGGGCUGGAGUAUAGUUGGUGCCGUCUCGGCUCACUGCAACCUCCACCUCCCAGAUUCAAGCGACCCUCCAGCCUCAGCCUCCUGAGUAACUGGGAUUACAGACGUGCACCACCACAUCCAGCUAAUUGAUAAUAAUCUGAGAAGUUUCUUGAAGACCAUCAGCAUCUUCAAUGGGCGACUGGAAGAUACACUGUGGUUACCUGGGAGGCAGCCCAGCCUGGACCAGCAACCCAACCUGCUUCUUCAGAGCAAAACAAGAACUAGGAAUCAUCUUUUCACCUGGGAAGGAAUCAAGUAAAAAGCAAAAUUGAACUAAAGGCAAGGGUGACAUAAUUUGUAUUACAUACAAAUGACCAGAAACCACUGGUGGCCACAAAGUUUUACUUUGAGCUAAUAAAACAUAUGCAUGCAUCCAGUGUAAAUCUAA